rnacentral:pre_miRNA from 1 species
UCUUAUGAAUGAACUAAGAAAGUGGUUUCUAAAGAUGGAAACUACUCUUGGUGAAGAUGCUAUGAA